GGGGAAUAUUGCACAAUGGGCGCAAGCCUGAUGCAGCCAUGCCGCGUGUGUGAAGAAGGCCUUCGGGUUGUAAAGCACUUUCAGCGAGGAGGAAGGGUAGUGUGUUAAUAGCACAUUGCAUUGACGUUACUCGCAGAAGAAGCACCGGCUAACUCCGUGCCAGCAGCCGCGGUAAUACGGAGGGUGCAAGCGUUAAUCGGAAUUACUGGGCGUAAAGCGCACGCAGGCGGUUUGUUAAGUCAGAUGUGAAAUCCCCGCGCUUAACGUGGGAAC
rnacentral:rRNA from 1 species